UCAAAGUUCUCUCUGAUACGUACUCACAUCAGACCAGCAGAACAUUCCUCUCUGUGGGGUCAAUGGUGUCAUUCCCUGAGUGUUCACAGCUAGAUAUGGCAUGAUAAAGAAGGAAGAAUGAGGAAUGAAGACAAUUUAAUUGUACCACAGCAGAAUCUGCAUGCAGGUUGAACGGAGUCAUGCUUUUCAAACCUCCAAAGAUAAUAAUGCUAGAAAAACACCAGAUCCUUAAAGGGAAUACUCUUACCUCUCUGUUGGGUAAAGUAAGGUUUCCACUGCAUGCAGAGCGACAGAUUGCAAGCACAACAUCAACCAGCUCACCUGAACAUUUCCCCUGCAGGUUUGCAUCUAGCUGGAUGGUUAUGUUAUUACAGAGAGAGUCCCUAGGAAGCAGGACUGGGACCCUGUCUGCAUUACUGUGUCACCUCUUCACACCUGAGGAACCAGCCCAUUCCCUGCAUUCUUUUGUUUCUUGAUGUUUCUGAACUUGCUUGUAAUCUCCAAGCCAAGUUGAUUUUAAAUUUACUUCAUUCUUCAGAUUAUUACAUGAGUUCUAUAUUUGUCAACUUAAAGAUACACCGGUCAAAUAUUAAAAAGUCUAAGUAACAUCCUGGAAUGCACUGAAAACAAAGCAUGCUGAGACUGCCAGAAGUUAUUAUAUCAAUAACGGAUACUUGGGAGAUGCAUCCAGUGAGUCCACUGAUCUGGGGGGCAAUCCAGUUGUGGAAUUUGUGUUGGAAGCAACUACUAUAUCCAGCUGAAAAUCAAGCCUAAGAUUUUUAUCUGAUUCUCUUAUUUUUAUUUAAGAAAGUGUUAAAUAAACAUUUCCCCCCUCUCCUAA